CAACUAAAGAUGGCGACCGGCGCACGGGUGAGUAACACGUAUCCAACCUGCCUCAUACUCGGGGAUAGCCUUUCGAAAGAAAGAUUAAUAUCCGAUAGCAUAUAUUUCCCGCAUGGGUUUUAUAUUAAAGAAAUUCGGUAUGAGAUGGGGAUGCGUUCCAUUAGUUUGUUGGGGGGGUAACGGCCCACCAAGACUACGAUGGAUAGGGGUUCUGAGAGGAAGGUCCCCCACAUUGGAACUGAGACACGGUCCAA
rnacentral:rRNA from 1 species